AUGCCGCUGCCAGAACAUGUCCUGCUCCACCGCCGCUGCCAUAGGCACCGUUUUCUUGAGCUGCCACAGGCUGGAGCCUCUGCCGGUGGAGAAGGAGGCGACAUGGACUGCCUGCUCUGGGUCUACGACUACAUCGUCGAGUUCUUCCAAUACAAGGACAUCCUGCCCGACGGCUCUCAACACGUGAGGAGAUCAUGGAUGGCUUUUAGAAGACCGUCUUCUGGUACUUUCGAGACAAGAGUCACAAGAAUAGUUACGACGACUUGGCGCCCUCACGUCCGGCAAGACACUGGGGCGAGGAGAGGUGGUGGAUGCCCGGGCCAUGCAUGA
rnacentral:rRNA from 1 species